GCGCCCGUAGCUCAGUGGAUAGAGCGUUCGCCUCCGGAGCGAAAGGUCGCAAGUUCGACUCUUGCCGGGCGUA
rnacentral:tRNA from 1 species